AUGGAAGCUUUAGCCUAAGUUCUGCCAGGAAGACUCAAUCACUUCGUCACUAAUUACCUUCAUCAUUAUCCAAUCACGUCUUUAUACUCCUGUAUAAAAGAUCGUACUUACACAUGUUUGAGUUCGCAGAUGCCAACGCGACAACAACCGCAGAUUCCGACGCGAUUGUACUUGCUCAAGCUGUUGUGUUUAUUCAUCUACUUGCUGUAAUUAAGUUCGUGCCCCGCAAACUAUCUAGAGUUCGACGUUCCUCUAAGAUGCACACGGGAUCGUUGGCUUAGCUCUGUGUCGCGGUGAUUAUCUGCAGUCGUUUGUGUUGGAUGAUUUACAAGCUUUUCUCGGCAGAGGAUGUGAACAUUGGCGGAGUUCCGUGUGCUUCCAGGCCAGGGUUGCCAGGUUCUCAAAACCACCAGUUACUACUAUAAUUAAAAAAAAAAAAAAAUAGCCCAAUCGCGUUCAAAAGGGAUUUAUCGGUAUAAUUCACAUUCUAGGGGCUAUAUAUAACACUAUUGGGGUCACCUCAAACCCAGGACAGAAAAGGCAACCCACAAAAAAAAAAAAAAAAAAAAAAUACGGUCUUGGCAACGCUGGUGCUUUCCGAGAUGUCGCGUCAGUGCUGCUUGGGUCUCAACACCUGAAAAGACUUUGGUCUCAAUCAACAAAUAUUCAUCUGUACGCUCACGUGAACCUGCAGGAAUGAAGUUUCUCCGGACCAGCAGACAGAAUUAAGGCUGCCAGUCUCUUCGGCAUCUCGCCUCCAUCACUUCACAAGUCUACAGCAUUAUAAGUAUCAUUUUGUUCUAUGCACUUGCGGCGCCUGGGCAUUAAUUUAUUCUCUGCAAGGAUUUAUACUUGCACGUUCAAAUAAAACACUGGGUGUUUCGUGCUUGUUUAUUGACUUGCACAGCAUAAUUAAGAUGUUGAUCAUAGUGCAUGCAAUUUUCUGAAUUUCUUCGUAAUGAGGCACUUAAGGCUCAUCAUAAACGCUACAAUCUUUAUACUGAUAAAGAUUUUUCGCAUUUCAAAAAAAAAAAAAAAAAAAAAAAAAAGCUCUGUCUAGCACACUUGUGAUUCGCUGUUUUAAUCCUAUGCUUUAAUAUUUGUUUAUUCAGUCUUUCAUUUGCGUUAUUCCUGAAAGUUCAUACUCUAAUGGGAUUCUAUGGUUGCAGAUGCAGGGAACCGCUGCUCUCACCUCAUCUUUACAUGGCUUACUCUUGAGCUAGCGAAUUAUGAACACUGGAUCUACCAAGCUGAUGCGUUUAUGGACCCUUCUUUUGAGUCGUAGGUAAGAUUCGGCUCAAUGCUCAGUCAGCAGGCAUAUAUUACUCCACGUGACACGAGUUGCUGCUGACCUUAUUUCAGAGUAGUGACAUAUCUCCAGUUUAAACCGAAUAUUAAUUAGCAGGCAUGGUUUGUUUGCACUCCUGGUCUCCGUCUCAAGGCGCGGUCGCAUUAGACUUUAAACAUGCGAAAUUAUUUCUAACGCCACUGCGAAUAUGGGCGGGAGCAAGAUAAAACCGUCUCCCCUCAAUUAUCACAAGAUGGAUUAUUACAUGUUUGCUAGCACUGUGUCUUUUGCAACGGCGUCGAAAGCGUUUUAUUAUAUUGUAACGUUACUCCGUAUCUCUCUAUAAAUAUAUACACCCUAAGGGGAGGAGGGGGAGAAGAAAGAAAAAAAAAAAAAAAAAAAAAAAAUUGGGGAGUGACAGUUAAGGGCUUAAGCUACAAUCAAGGCAUGUUUAUAUUCGCGCAUCUACUGGUGUUGGUUCAUCACUCUUACUCGGCUGUUGCGGCUUUCACUUUACACUUUUAAACUUUCAGACAGCUGUGCCCUCAGCCAACCCGGAUUCUUCAGUCUGCCCUCCGUUAGCAGACAUAAUACUAACGAAGUGCUUACGUCAGCUGGAAAUCACAUUUCUAAGGCGUCGCUCCCUCUACAAUCAAGCCUACACGUUUGCAUGGUCCGCUUCUAAUGUUUUUCCUUCCAAUUUUUGCGUUCCUAUUCUAAUUUCGACCGUUGCUCCUUUCUUGUCAAAAAAAAAAAAAAAAAAAUCGCAAUCUUAAUUUCUCUAUUCGCAGACUCCUUGCCAGCAUCUAAUCCACGCUAAAUUUUAUAAUCAAAUUUUCAAGCCUUUUGGUUAUUCAGUUCUAUUACUACUUGAGGGGUUAGCUAAAUCUUCCAACAAAUUAAAGACAAAUGUCUGCCUAUUACCCUGCCCAUAUUGCAAAAUGAAUUACUUCCAUCUGCUACGGCCUUCCUUCAAAGUACCUCAAUAUUCUUCUGGAGGCAGUGUUUAUCUGCUUUCUACAGGUUAUGCUUCCAGGGGAAUUCACUUCAAACCAAUCAAUUUGAUCCUGCUCGCGGCAUUUCCUUCAGAUCUAUGAUUCGGACCAAAAAUUCUUCACACUCUCCUCAAGCACUCAAAAACCGAUGUGCAAGGUUCUGGAGUCACCUUAACAAUUCUAAAAUCAAUAAUCCUGUCCCUUCUCUGCAUGGUGAAAUUUCUUAAAAAUCCGACCUAGAAUUUCUAAAACGCACCAGCUCUUUUUUUCCUAACGGAGCCCCCUUUCCAAGGCUGUUUAGAACUCACUUAACCACUGUUCUCAAAGCUGCAGUCUAUCUACUGGCCAUUCAUUCAGAAUUGGGGCAGCUACUUCAGCAGCUGAAUGAGGGAUCUCUACAUCAGCUGUUAAGAUCAUGGGCAGAUGGUCUUCCUAAGCAUUUGAAUCAUACAUCAGACCUGAUUCAAAACCAUUAUUGAAGCUCAGCAAGCUCUCCUGUAACUAAUCAGGAACCUUAGGAUUCACAACUGGUGGGUAUACUUCAUCUACUUUUUUUUGGGGGGAAGGCCGGCCCCGUCUGGAGGUCUCAUAAUCCACCUAAUUUUGGGGGUCUGCUGCGCCCCUGCCUUCGUCUUCAGGCAGGAAAUGCAGAUUCGCUACCCUCGGAUUACGAACCAUGGACGGGGCCUUCCGCCAAAGAAAUUUAUAAUUGUGCUCGCUGAGCUGUCAAUAAAUGUAUGCUUCGUACAUUCCUCUAUCUCCCGAGUCUUUCUGGUAGAAAUGGAAGCUUUAGCCUAAGUUCUGCCAGGAAGACUCAAUCACUUCGUCACUAAUUACCUUCAUCAUUAUCCAAUCACGUCUUUAUACUCCUGUAUAAAAGAUCGUACUUACACAUGUUUGAGUUCGCAGAUGCCAACGCGACAACAACCUCCACCCUCCCCACCACCCCCAGGAUGGUCCUGUCCUUACCUUCCAGGGGGGGUCUGCUGCGCCCCUGCCUUCGUCUUCAGGCAGGAAAUGCAGAUUCGCUACCCUCGGAUUACGAACCAUGGACGGGGCCUUCCGCCAAAGAAAUUUAUAAUUGUGCUCGCUGAGCUGUCAAUAAAUGUAUGCUUCGUACAUUCCUCUA